GAACUCAAGCGCCAGUAAACGGCGGUGGUAACUAUAACCAUCCUAAGGUAGCGAAAUUCCUUGUCGGGUAAGUUCCGACCUGCACGAAUGGCGUAACGACUUCUCGACUGUCUCAACCAUAGGCUCGGCGAAAUUGCACUACGAGUAAAGAUGCUCGUUACGCGCGGCAGGACGGAAAGACCCCGGGACCUUCACUACAACUUGAUAUUGGUGCUCGGUUCGGCUUGUGUAGGAUAGGUGGGAGACUGUGAAGCUCGCACGCCAGUGCGGGUGGAGUCGCCGUUGAAAUACCACUCUGGUCGAAUUGGGUGUCUAACCUCGGUCCGUCAUCCGGAUCAGGAACAGUGUCAGGCGGGUAGUUUAACUGGGGCGGUUGCCUCCAAAAAUGUAACGGAGGCGCCCAAAGGUUCCCUCAGCCUGGUUGGCAAUCAGGUGUCGAGUGCAAGUGCACAAGGGAGCUUGACUGUGAGACAGACAUGUCGAGCAGGGACGAAAGUCGGGACUAGUGAUCCGGCACUGGCUUGUGGAAGCGGUGUCGCUCAACGGAUAAAAGGUACCCCGGGGAUAACAGGCUGAUCUUGCCCAAGAGUCCAUAUCGACGGCAAGGUUUGGCACCUCGAUGUCGGCUCGUCACAUCCUGGGGCUGGAGUAGGUCCCAAGGGUUGGGCUGUUCGCCCAUUAAAGUGGCACGCGAGCUGGGUUUAGAACGUCGUGAGACAGUUCGGUCCCUAUCCGCCGCGCGCGCAAGAGACUUGAGAAGAGCUGUCCCUAGUACGAGAGGACCGGGACGGACGAACCUCUGGUGUGACAGUUGUCGUGCCAACGGCACUGCUGUUUAGCUACGUUCGGCAGGGAUAACCGCUGAAAGCAUCUAAGCGGGAAGCUCGCUUCGAGAUGAGGUCUCUCACAGGGUCAACCUGGUAAGGCCCCCGACUAGACCAUCGGGUUGAUAGGCCGGAAGUGGAAGCCUGGUAACAGGUGCAGCUGACCGGUACUAAUAGGCCGAGGGCUUGACCA
rnacentral:rRNA from 1 species